GUGGAUUAGAUACCCUGGUAGUCCACGCCCUAAACGAUGACAACUAGUUGUUGGGGAUUUAACAUCCUUAGUAACGUAGCUAACGCGUGAAGUUGUCCGCCUGGGGAGUACGGUCGCAAGAUUAAAACUCAAAGGAAUUGACGGGGGCCCGCACAAGCGGUGGAUGAUGUGGUUUAAUUCGAUGCAACGCGUAAAACCUUACCUACCCUUGACAUGCUAGGAAGUCCGAUGAGAGUUGGAUGUGCCCGAAAGGGAACCUAGACACAGGUGCUGCACGGUUGUCGCCAGCU
rnacentral:rRNA from 1 species